rnacentral:rRNA from 1 species
CUGCUGCCUCCCGUAGGAGUCUGGGCCGUGUCUCAGUCCCAAUGUGGCCGUCCACCCUCUCAGGCCGGCUACUGAUCGUUGCCUUGGUGUGCUUUUACCACUCCAACUAGCUAAUCAGACGCGGGUCCAUCUCAUACCAGAUUUCUCCUUUUCACACAAAAACAUGCGUUUCCGUGCGCUUAUGCGGUUUUACCACCAGUUUCCCGAUGCUAUCCCCCUGUAUGAGGCAGGUUGCCCACGCGUUACUCACCCGUCCG